rnacentral:rRNA from 1 species
GACGAACGCUGGCGGCGUGCUUAACACAUGCAAGUCGAACGGAAAGGCCCUGCUUGCAGGGUACUCGAGUGGCGAACGGGUGAGUAACACGUGGGUGAUCUGCCCUGCACUUCGGGAUAAGCCUGGGAAACUGGGUCUAAUACCGGAUAGGAGCCAUUUUUAGUGUGAUGGUUGGAAAGUUUUUUCGGUGUAGGAUGAGCUCGCGGCCUAUCAGCUUGUUGGUGGGGUAAUGGCCUACCAAGGCGGCGACGGGUAGCCGGCCUGAGAGGGUGGACGGCCACAUUGGGACUGAGAUACGGCCCAGACUCCUACGGGAGGCAGCAGUGGGGAAUAUUGCACAAUGGGCGCAAGCCUGAUGCAGCGACGCCGCGUGGGGUAUGACGGCCUUCGGGUUGUAAACUCCUUUCGCUAGGGACGAAGCUUUUUGUGACGGUACCUAGAUAAGAAGCACCGGCUAACUACGUG